CCUAGAGACGCCGACACCAUAUCUUCUUUACAAGAGUACAAUCAGCCACUCACAGACUUCUUUACAGCUCUUCCUUCAGACGAGAAAGUUGUAUUGGUUGGUCACAGCGCUGGUGGAUUCAAUUUGAGUUUUACCAUGGAGCGUUUUCCAGAUAGAAUUGCUGCUGCUGUCUUUGUUACUGCCUUCAUGCCCCUCAGUGGAACAACUUUCUCUGAUGUGAUCACUGAGGUCGCAUCAAUAGUUGGAGACUUCGGAGACUCCACAUAUUACUACGGAAAUGGGAAAGAAAAUCCGGCCACAUCCUUCAGAUUUGGCACCCAGUUUACUAGACAUUUUUUAUCACAGA